UACGAAGGGGGCUAGCGUUGUUCGGAAUUACUGGGCGUAAAGCGCACGUAGGCGGACUCUUAAGUCAGGGGGGAAAUCCCGGGGCUCAACCUCGGAACUGCCUUUGAUACUGUGAGUCUCGAGACCGGAAGAGGUGAGUGGAAUUCCUAGUGUAGAGGUGAAAUUCGUAGUUAUUAGGAAGAACACCAGUGGCGAAGGCGGCUCAUUGGUCCGGUUCUGACGCUGGGGGGGAAAACGUGGGGAGCAAACAGG
rnacentral:rRNA from 1 species